rnacentral:rRNA from 1 species
CCUGAGUACAGCGGCGCACGGGUGAGUAACACGUGGGUAACCUGCCUCGGAGUGGGGAAUAACACCGGGAAACCGGUGCUAAUACCGCAUACGACCACAGGCUCUUCGGAAUCUGUGAUGAAAGACAAUGUCGCUCUGAGAGGGGCCCGCGCCCGAUUAGCUAGUUGGUGAGGUAACGGCUCACCAAGGCAGCGAUCGGUAGCCGGUCUGAGAGGACGGUCGGCCACACUGGAACUGACACACGGUCCAGACUCCUACGGGAGGCAGCAGUGGGGAAUUUUUGACAAUGGGGGAAACCCUGAUCAAGCAACGCCGCGUGGAUGAUGAAGUAUUUCGGUACGUAAAAUCCUUUCGACAGGGAAGAAGCCUUCGGGUUGACGGUACCUGUAGAAGAAGCCCCGGCUAACUCCGUGCCAGCAGCCGCGGUAAUACGGGGGGGGCAAGCGUUGUUCGGAUUUACUGGGCGUAAAGGGCGCGUAGGCGGUUCGUUAAGUCGGAUGUGAAAACUCUGGGCUCAACCCAGAGCCUGCAUCCGAUACUGGCGGACUUGAGUGCGAGAGGGGAAAGCGGAAUUCCUGGUGUAGCGGUGAAAUGCGUAGAUAUCAGGAGGAACACCGGCGGCGAAGGCGGCUU